rnacentral:rRNA from 1 species
UACGGGGGGAGCAAGCGUUGUUCGGAUUUACUGGGCGUAAAGGGCGCGUAGGCGGCCACCGCAAGUCGACUGUGAAAUCUCUGGGCUUAACCCAGAAAGGUCAGCCGAUACUGCGGGGCUAGAGUGCAGAAGGGGCAACUGGAAUUCUCGGUGUAGCGGUGAAAUGCGUAGAUAUCGAGAGGAACACCUGCGGCGAAGGCGGGUUGCUGGGCUGACACUGACGCUGAGGCGCGAAAGCUAGGGGAGCAAACAGG